GGGGCCUUGAGCAAUGAGCGGCUUGGGGACGGUUUCGAGGCGGGGUUCCGAGGAGCUGGGGGUGGGGACGGUUUGGAGCCGCCACUGCCAGAGGCGCGACUCUCGCACUGCCAUGUUUCAAAGUGACAACUUGCCAGUUUCACAAUGCAUCCCUUCCUAAAAACUGACUGCCAUCUCUAGGUUAGUUUUGGCUGACUCAUGGAGGAUAUGCAGUGAGGAUUUUUGUGUCUUCUGCUUCACCUUUUCAUGUCAGAGUAAAACUGCCUUUGCAAAGAUUAUGAUGACUUUUGCAUUCUGGCAACUGACUGACUUCACCCGGAUGAUCUCAGACUCAGGAAUCAACCAGUCCUGUGGACCCCCCACCUAGAGGCUGACUCAGCACAUGAGGACUGUUUUCCACACCCCCAUGAUUUCUUCCCCAACCAGUCAGCAGCACCCAUUCCCUAGCCCCCUCCCACCAAAUCAUCCAUAGUACUCUAGCCUCUCAGUUCUCAGGAAGACUGAUUUGAGUAAUAAACUCCAACCUUCUGGUUACCUA